GAGUUUGAUCAUGGCUCAGAUUGAACGCUGGCGGCAUGCCUUACACAUGCAAGUCGAACGGCAGCGGGGGAAAGCUUGCUUUCCUGCCGGCGAGUGGCGAACGGGUGAGUAAUACAUCGGAACGUGCCCUGUAGUGGGGGAUAACUAGUCGAAAGAUUAGCUAAUACCGCAUACGACCUGAGGGUGAAAGUGGGGGACCGCAAGGCCUCAUGCUAUAGGAGCGGCCGAUGUCUGAUUAGCUAGUUGUGGGUAAGGCCUACCAAGGCGACGAUCAGUAGCUGGUCUGAGAGGACGAUCAGCCACACUGGGACUGAGACACGGCCCAGACUCCUACGGGAGGCAGCAGUGGGGAAUUUUGGACAAUGGGCGAAAGCCUGAUCCAGCAAUGCCGCGUGUGUGAAGAAGGCC
rnacentral:rRNA from 1 species